rnacentral:lncRNA from 1 species
UUACAAAUCCCCACCACCUCCUCCUUACGUCUACAAAUCUCCUCCACCACCAUCACCAACACCAGUUUACGUAUACAAAUCCCCACCCCCUCCACCUUACGUCUACAAGUCUCCACCGCCACCAACACCAGUUUAUGUAUACAAAUCCCCACCUCCUCCACCUUACAUCUACAAGUCUCCACAGCCACCGACACCAGUUUACGUAUACAAAUCCCCACCUCCUCCACCUUACGUUUAUAAGUCUCCACCACCACCAACACCCGUUUACGUAUACAAAUCCCCACCUCCUCCACCUUACGUUUAUAAGUCUCCACCACCACCAACACCAGUUUACGUAUACAAAUCCCCACCUCCUCCUCCUUACGUCUACAAGUCCCCACCGCCGCCACCAUACGUCUACUCAUCACCUCCACCACCAGUAAAGUCACCACCACCACCGUACGUGUAUUCAUCACCUCCACCACCCGUGAAGUCACCGCCACCACCGUAUGUGUACUCAUCACCUCCACCACCUGUAAAGUCACCGCCACCACCAUAUGUGUACUCAUCACCUCCACCACCUGUGAAGUCACCUCCACCACCAUACGUCUACUCAUCACCUCCACCACCCGUAAAAUUACCGCCACCACCAUACGUGUACUCAUCACCUCCACCACCCGUGAAGUCACCACCAGCACCGUAUGUGUACUCAUCACCUCCACCACGGGUGAAGCCACCACCACCACCAUACGUGUACUCAUCACCUCCACCACCGGUAAAGUCACCGCCACCACCAUACGUGUACUCAUCACCUCCCCCACCCGUGAAGUCACCGCCACCACCGUAUGUGUACUCAUCACCUCCACCACCCGUGAAGUCACCGCCACCACCUUAUGUGUACUCAUCACCUCCACCACCUGUAAAGUCACCGCCACCACCAUAUGUGUACUCAUCACCUCCACCACCUGUGAAGUCACCACCACCACCAUACGUCUACUCAUCACCUCCACCACCCGUAAAAUCACCGCCACCACCAUAUGUCUACUCAUCACCUCCACCACCCGUAAAAUCUCCGCCACCACCAUACGUCUACUCAUCACCUCCACCACCCGUAAAGUCACCUCCACCACCGGCAUACAUCUACGCUUCCCCACCUCCUCCAACC